UGGGGGAUAUUGCACAAUGGGCGAAAGCCUGAUGCAGCGACGCCGCGUGGGGGAUGAAGGCCUUCGGGUUGUAAACUUCUUUUGCUCUGAACAAGGCAUGCCUUUGGGGUGUGUUGAGUGUAGGGGUUGAUUAGCGCCGGCUAACUACGUGCCAGCAGCCGCGGUAAUACGUAGGGCGCGAGCGUUGUCCGGAAUUAUUGGGCGUAAAGGGCUUGUAGGUGGCUGGUUGCGUCUGUCGUGAAAGCUCAUGGCUUAACUGUGGGUUUGCGGUGGGUACGGGCUGGCUUGAGUGCAGUAGGGGAGGCUGGAAUUCCUGGUGUAGCGGUGGAAUGCGCAGAUAUCAGGAGGAAUACCGGUGGCGAAGGCGGGUCUCUGCGCUGUUACUGACGCUGAGGAGCGAAAGCGUGGGGAGCGAACAGG
rnacentral:rRNA from 1 species